rnacentral:rRNA from 1 species
AGUGAACGCUGGCGGUAGGCCUAACACAUGCAAGUCGAACGGCAGCACAGUAAGAGCUUGCUCUUACGGGUGGCGAGUGGCGGACGGGUGAGGAAUACAUCGGAAUCUACUUUUUCGUGGGGGAUAACGUAGGGAAACUUACGCUAAUACCGCAUACGACCUACGGGUGAAGGCAGGGGAUCUUCGGACCUUGCGCGAUUGAAUGAGCCGAUGUCGGAUUAGCUAGUUGGCGGGGUAAAGGCCCACCAAGGCGACGAUCCGUAGCUGGUCUGAGAGGAUGAUCAGCCACACUGGAACUGAGACACGGUCCAGACUCCUACGGGAGGCAGCAUUGGGGAAUAUUGGACAAUGGGCGCAAGCCUGAUCCAGCCAUACCGCGUGGGUGAAGAAGGCCUUCGGGUUGUAAAGCCCUUUUGUUGGGAAAGAAAAGCAGCAGGUUAAUACCCCGCUGUUCUGACGGUACCCAAAGAAUAAGCACCGGCUAACUUCGUG